rnacentral:sRNA from 1 species
CCGGGUGGGAGUGACUGUGGCACAGACCACAAUGGAGCCACAUCUUCUAGAAGCCUGUGUGCGUGAUGUACUGAAUGACACAGCCCCACGAGCCAUGGCUGUGCUGGAGUCACUACGGGUCAUCAUCACCAACUUUCCUGCUGCCAAGUCCUUGGACAUCCAGGUGCCCAACUUCCCAGCUGAUGAGACCAAAGGCUUCCAUCAGGUUCCCUUUGCACCCAUUGUCUUCAUUGAGAGGACUGACUUCAAGGAGGAGCCAGAGCCAGGAUUUAAGCGCCUGGCUUGGGGCCAGCCUGUGGGCCUGAGGCAUACAGGCUACGUCAUUGAGCUGCAGCAUGUUGUCAAGGGCCCCAGUGGUUGUGUAGAGAGUCUGGAGGUGACCUGCAGACGGGCAGAUGCUGGAGAGAAGCCAAAGGCCUUUAUUCACUGGGUGUCACAGCCUUUGAUGUGUGAGGUUCGCCUCUAUGAGCGACUGUGAGUGAACAGAGCUGGGGUGGGGGCAGGUACAAGAUGCACAUUGCCUGCUGUGGCUGCCCAGCUGGGGGUAUGACCUUCACUUUGGCUGCAGAUUCCAGCACAAGAACCCUGAAGAUCCUACUGAGGUGCCUGGUGGAUUUUUAAGUGACCUGAACCUGGUAGGUUCGUGAGGUUUGGGGUGAGGGAGGUAGGCCUCCCUGGUUGGAUGGUUGCCUGAGUUCCCUGCCUGCAGGCAUCACUACACGUGGUGGAUGCAGCAUUAGUGGACUGCUCUGUGGCCCUGGCAAAACCCUUCGACAAGUUCCAGUUUGAGCGUCUUGGAUAUUUCUCCGUGGAUCCAGACAGCCAUCAGGGAAAGCUUGUCUUUAACCGAACUGUCACACUGAAGGAAGACCCGGGAAAGGUGUGAGCUGGAAGCACUGAACCUACCUCAUCCUCCUGGAGGGUGUGGCUACCCUCGCCACCCCAAAUUCCAUG